CAAACCACGUGACCUCUGGUUGGCACACAAACUAAAGAAGAGGUUAUGUUUGUAUCUAUUUUUCAAUGAUUUUUCAUUGUUUAUCGUCGUAUUUUGGAUUCAUUUGGAUUUCGUUUCCUGUUUUUGUGAACUUUAUAAACUUUACCACAAUGCGAACUGAUUAUUUAAGGAAAUUAUUAUUGGAAACUCCAGAUGUUGCGAGAAAGAUAUUUAUUGAAGCUGAAAAUAAUUGGGGAUUUAGAUCCAUACGGAAUUCAGUCAGAAUUGGAUUUUACAGUAAAGUGCAGUCCAUCAAGUUACUAUUAUAGAUAUGUAUUUAUACAGAUCUGGUGGAGUCUCACAGUUGCUACUCUAAGCAGCAGAUGAAAGCAUACAAAAGCCUUCAGGCACAUAAAUAUUUUACAGCUGGAUUUGUUUUGAAUGGAGUAAAAAUUGUUAAUGAUUUCCUGAUUUCCAUAUUAUUGUUGGAAAGGUGAAGCAUUUCCAAAAAGCUAAUGCUAAACGACUAAAUGCUUGGGUGGGGUGAUAGCCAGUUCUGAUGACAUAGCAAAUGCACAUUGUAUGCGUAUGGCCGGUAAUAGUGAAGUCUGCAGCCAUAUUGCAGCAAUCCUAUUUUUAGCUGAGUAUGCCCAGAGCAAGACAGACGAAGAAGAACCCAAUGCAUGUACAUAUGUUACAGCUACAUGGUUUGGAGAUAGCAACAUAUGCAUUCUCUGAUGAAAAACUAAUGAGUUUUGAAACUGUUCGGUCAGAGUGCUUGUUGCGCUCACUAAACGAACUGAAAUAUAAGAAGUCUUUGGCAUUGUGUUGCAGCGAUAUGAAAAUGGUUAUUCAUUUUUAAUUAUAAUGUACUUCUUCAUCAUGAGUAAUUAUGUAUUGGUCUUUUAGAUGUGUAUUUAUUUUUGUAAUUAGUAUCAACUUGUAAUGAUAAUAUACAUUUAUCGUUUAAGGUACGACUAUGUUUUGACUCUAAAAUAAAUGUUUUAAAAAUCGAA